rnacentral:lncRNA from 1 species
AGACCUGGAGUCAGUUGAGAGGACAUUGAGCUGUUCAGGCUGGGCCCCCCAUCUUAGACUACGUUCUGCCACUCCUAAGCAGCUGUGAGCAUUCCUCAAGCCUUUCACCCUGAGGAUGGAAUGUAGUCUAGGACCUCUCCAUUUCGUCUGCCCAAGUGAGCUGGGGACCGAACCCAGGGCCUUGCGCUUCCUAGGUCAUAUGGGAUGCCGUCUUGGACUUUUAACUGCAAUGAAUAAAGCAGAUUCAGUCAGGUCUAUGGUAAUGAAGGCUAACAAUGGGCCUUUACAUCUGCUGACUCUUCAAAUGAAAAACGUUCUACCUCCUGCCCAGAACAGUAGAAGGAAGGCACCAUUCUUCAUUUUGAUUGGGUGGACCUGAUCUAAUUUCCUUGAACAGCAGAGACCUUAUUUCAAGUGACCUAAGUCCUUAUGUAUCUCUUUUAGAAAAUCCAGUAGUUUUAUUUGUAUUCCUAAGGUCAAAGCAGUUUGGAGAAUAUUUACAGUUGAUGGAUGAUUUAUACUUUUUUCUAUGACAAAAAUAUUAGCCUUUAAAAAUCUGAGUGAAACAGAUAUGUAGAUGGAAAUGACUCAUUACUAUCAAUAGAAGCAAAGAGUAUUAGGCCACCAUGCAUAACUGUAGUCAUCCAAAUAAGGCAAACGAACAAUGCCAGAAGAAAGACCUACAAGCCUAAUGAGGAACUGUCUGAAAAGGAGAUGCACACAGCAAAUCCAACGGUGUCUACUGCCUCCAGGCUGCAGGGGGAGCUCUUCCAUCCCUAAAGUUUCCCCAUUUGCAAAAACUGUGGCCCUUCAUCUGUCCUGAUUAAAUAACAAACCUUUUUGAGAGACAUCUCUCCUUUAUUUCUACAUUUUCUGCAUAAAUCCCAAUCAAACAGUUCAGCUCUAAUGAAUACCCUCUAUUGUGUUCAGACACUCCUCUUUUUCUGACAAUCUUUGGCUGCUUUUGAGUCUUAUGUAAAAUAGAGGUCAACAGAGCACUCUUUGUUGCAUGCAGAUUUUGCUGGUCAUUGUUUAUGUUGAUAUUCAAAGACCAAAGUGUAAAUGUUUUUUUAAGAAAUUAAACUGUAAGAGUAAAUAAUUUUCUUGA